UCUACGGUGUGCAGCAGUGGGGAAUAUUGGGCAAUGGGCGCAAGCCUGACCCAGCAACGCCGCGUGAAGGAAGAAGGCUUUCGGGUUGUAAACUUCUUUUCUCAGGGACGAAGAAAGUGACGGUACCUGAGGAAUAAGCCACGGCUAACUACGUGCCAGCAGCCGCGGUAAUACGUAGGUGGCAAGCGUUAUCCGGAUUUACUGGGUGUAAAGGGCGUGUAGGCGGGGAAGCAAGUCAGAUGUGAAAACCACGGGCUCAACCUGUGGCCUGCAUUUGAAACUGUUGGUCUUGAGUAUCGGAGAGGCAGGCGGAAUUCCUAGUGUAGCGGUGAAAUGCGUAGAUAUUAGGAGGAACACCAGUGGCGAAGGCGGCCUGCUGGACGACAACUGACGGUGAGGCGCGAAAGCGUGGGGAGCAAACAGGAUUAGAUACCCUGGUAGU
rnacentral:rRNA from 1 species